rnacentral:rRNA from 1 species
CCUGAGAAACGGCUACCACAUCCAAGGAAGGCAGCAGGCGCGCAAAUUACCCACUCCCGGCACGGGGAGGUAGUGACGAAAAAUAACGAUACGGGACUCAUCCGAGGCCCCGUAAUCGGAAUGAGUACACUUUAAAUCCUUUAACGAGUAUCAAUUAGAGGGCCAGUCUGGUGCCAGCAGCCGCGGUAACCCCAGCUCUAAUAGCGUAUAUUAAAGUUGUUGCGGUUAAAAAGCUCGUAGUUGAAUCUGUGUCCCACACUGUCGGUUCACCGCUCGCGGUGUUCAACUGGCAUGUCUGUGGGACGUCCUACCGGUGGGCUUAGCCCGUCAAAAGGCGGCCCAACUCAAAAUCCUACCACGGUGCUCUUCACCGAGUGUCGAGGUGGGCCGGUACGUUUACUUUGAACAAAUUAGAGUGCUUAAAGCAGGCUCAUUCGCCUGAAUAUUGUGUGCAUGGAAUAAUGGAAUAGGACCUCGGUUCUAUUUUGUUGGUUUUCGGAAUUCCGAGGUAAUGAUUAAUAGGGACAACUGGGGGCAUUCGUAUUGCGACGUUAGAGGUGAAAUUCUUGGAUCGUCGCAAGACGGACAGAAGCGAAAGCAUUUGCCAAAUGUGUUUUCAUCAAUCAAGAACGAAAGUUAGAGGUUCGAAGGCGAUCAGAUACCGCCCUAGUUCUAACCAUAAACGAUGCCAGCUAGCGAUCCGCCGAAGUUCCUCCGAUGACUCGGCGGGCAGCUUCCGGGAAACCAAAGCUUUUGGGUUCCGGGGGAAGUAUGGUUGCAAAGCUGAAACUUAAAGGAAUUGACGGAAGGGCACCACCAGGAGUGGAGCCUGCGGCUUAAUUUGACUCAACACGGGAAACCUCACCAGGCCCGGACACCGGAAGGAUUGACAGAUUGAGAGCUCUUUCUUGAUUCGGUGGGUGGUGGUGCAUGGCCGUUCUUAGUUCGUGGAGUGAUUUGUCUGGUUAAUUCUGAUAACGAACGAGACUCUAGCCUACUAAAUAGACGUACUUUCCGGUAUCUCGAAGGCCCGCCGGCUGGGUUUCGGCCCAUGUCCGUGUGUGGUUUUUACUACCGGCGUACACAUAUAUCUUCUUAGAGGGACAGGCGGCGUUUAGUCGCACGAAAUUGAGCAAUAACAGGUCAGUGAUGC